rnacentral:misc_RNA from 1 species
UGUGGGAGCUGGCUUGCCUGCGAUAUCGGUGUGUCAGUCACCCCCGCUAUCGCAGGCAAGCCAGCUCCCACA